GCAGGGCGUAGUGGCGGGCGCCUGUAGUCCCAGAUACUCGGGAGGCUGAGGCAGGAGAAUCGCUUGAACCCAAGAGGCCGAGGGUGCAGUGAGCUGAGAUCGUGCCACUGCACUCCAGCCUGGGUGACAGAGCGAGACUCCGUCUCAA
rnacentral:SRP_RNA from 2 species